GUGGCACCAGAGUGAGGGCUGGGUAGAGGGGAUGGCUGGUGAUAGCUGAAGGAGCCAGGCAGCGGGGAGGCAGAGAAAGAACUUGCUCUUCCUGCUGCUGAGACGAGAGAAAGGAAAGACGAGGCAGCACUUGCAGGAAAAGGAAAGCCUAAAUGCAGCCAUGCAGGGAACAACGCAGCCAUGCAGGGAUGCCCUGUGCUAAGUGCUGGGCAUGCAAUGAGACUCCAUGAAGCCACAGUGUCAUUGAGGGGAGACAGAAGACACACUUGUCAAAGGGCGCCUCGCGGGAGACAGCUGCACAGCACAGGCACUCUCCCUCAGAAACCGCUCCUUCAGUAAGAGGUGGUGGCACCAUCCACUCGGGCAGGGAGACUGCCGCCAGGCUGAGAACUUGCAAAAUGGAAAGAAGUGAGAACAGUCCUAUGGAAGCAGCACAGACUUUGGAACAGAGUUGUAAGAUGCCAGGACAGAGCAGGUACUCAGCACGCAAUGGUCAUUGUUUUCACUAUUCCGGGGAUUCAACUGCAAAGGAAGAAAAAUAUUUCAUCCAAGAGUGGACAAGCAGGCUUAGGACAGAGGUAAGAGGAGAAGAGAGUUGGAGGAUAGUGUUUCUGAAGAAGGCUAAUUCCCAGGGAGGACUUCUGGGACCUUGCUUACCGACGACCGAGGUUCACCUGGGUGUACUGGGCCCCGCACUAAGUAGCCUGUGUAAUCUCAGUUUAUUUAAUGCUCUCAACUCUGUAAAGUAGGUGGUAUUACCUUCAUUUAACAGAUGAAGAAACUAAGAUGAGGGCUCUGGCCCGAAGCUGGUGAGAGGCAGCAGCAGGAACUGAGCCUGGGCCUGCUGGACUCCAAAAGCCUCUCUGGCUCUGUCACUUGCACUGACCCCAAGGCCCAAGGGAGGUGACCCUGUCAAGUAUGGUGGAGGACUCAGGCUCUGCAAUGGCAGAGAUGGUUUGCAAAGCACCCUACACUUCCCUAUGCUUUUUGUUCCCUACUUGUUUUAAAUUUUAUCUGAUAAACCAAAUCCUUCUCUGUAUUUCCUGUUUUUUAAUUUGUGGAGUUUUAAAAAUUGUGAUAAAAUACACAUAACAUAAAAUUUAUCAUAACUAUUUUCAAGUGUUCAGUUCAGUAGUGUUAAGUAUAUUUGAGUUGUGAAAAAGGUCUCCAGAACCUUUUCAUCUUGCAAAACUGAAACUUUGUACCCAUUAAACAAUAACCACGGAAAGCAAAACCACAGAUAAGGAGGAAUUCCUGUUCUAUGCUAUUUUGAUUACAGUAACUUUAUGAUAAGUUUUGAAGUCAGGAAGUAUGAGACCUCCAACAUUGUUCUUUUCCAAGAUCACAUUGUCUAUUUAAGGUCCUUUGAUAUUUCCAUAUACAUUUUUGGAUUGGGUUUUCCUCUUUCUGCAUUAAAGGACUGCAUUAAUCUGUAGAUCACUUUAGGAAAUAUUGACAUCUGAACAAUAUUGUCUUCCAAUCCAUGAACAUGGGAUGUCUUUCCAUUUAUUUAUGUCCUCUUUAAUUGCUUUCAGCAAUGUGUUGUACUUUUCAGUGUACACAUCUUGCCUGCUUGGUUAAGUUUAUUCCUAAGUAUUUUAUUCUUUUUGAUGCUAUCAUAAAUGGAAUAGUUUGUCUUUUCAGAUUGCUUAUUGUUAGUGUAUAAAAAUGCAAUAAUUAUUUGUGUGAAUUUUGUCUCCUGCAACUUCACUGAAUUUGCUUAUUAGUUCUAAAAGUUUUAAGGUGAAAUGUUUACAUUUUCUAUACAGGACCAUAUUGUUUACAAAUAGAGUUAAUUUUACUUCUUACCUCUGACUUGGAUGCCUUUUAAAUUUCUUUUUCUUGCCUGAUUGCUCCAGCUAGGACUCCCAGAACUAUGUUCAACAGAACUGAUGAAAGCAGCAUCCUUUUCUUGUUCCUGAUCUCAGAAGAAAAGCUUUCAUUCUGGCAUCACUGAGUAUCAUGUUAGCUGUGGGCUUUUCAUAUACUGCCUUUAUGAUGUUGAGGUAAUUUCCUUCUGUUCCUUUGUUGACUGUUUUUAAAUCAUGAAGUUGUGUUGAAUCUUGUCAAAUGCUUUUUCUGUAUCAAUUGAAGUGAUUGUGUGUUUUUUCCUUCAUUCUGUUAAUGUAGUGUAUUACAUUGAUUGAUUUUCUUAUAUUGAAACAUCCUUGCAUUCCAGGAAUAAAUCCCACUUGGCCAUUGC
ensembl:lncRNA novel transcript, antisense to GGACT